CGAGCCCCCGGCGCCCCGCCCGCGCCAGUCGCAGGCUGGUCUGCGCUCCGCGGUCGCCGGGUCAUGGGCGCCGUCGGCUCGUCCCCGCUGGUCCGCCUCGGCCUCUCCGCGCCGUCCCGGCCCCGCUGGCUCGGGGUCGCCGCGCUGGGACUGGCCGCGGUGGCGCUGGGGGCCGUCGCCUGGCGCCGCGCGUGGCCUCGGCGGCGCCGGCGGCUGCAGCAGGUGGGCACCGUGGCGAGACUCUGGCUCUACCCGGUCAAGUCGUGCAAGGGGGUGCCGGUGAGCGAGGCCGAGUGCACGGCCCUGGGGCUGCGCUGCGGCCACGUGCGCGACAGGUUCUGGACGGUGAUUAAGGAAGAUGGACACGUGGUGACCGCACGGCAGGAGCAUCGCCUUGUGCUGGUCUCCAUCACCCAUGAUGACAACUGCCUUGUCCUCAGGGCGCCGGGCAUGGACCAGCUGGUUUUGCCCAUCAAGGUGCCUUCCUCCAACAGGCUCCACAACUGCAGGAUGUUCGGUCUCGACACCCAGGGCAGGGACUGUGGCGACGAAGCUGCUCAGUGGUUCACCAGCUUCUUGAAAACGGAAGCUUAUCGCCUGGUUCAGUUUGAAAAGAACCUGAAGGGAAGACGAUCAAAGAAAAUAUUCUCCUCCGUUGCCCAGGAUUACGAGGUGGCCUACCCAGACUGCAGCCCCAUCUUGGUCAUCUCAGAAGCCUCUCUGACGGAUCUGAACACGAGGAUGGAGAAGAAGGUGAAAAUGGAAAAUUUCAGGCCAAAUAUCGAGGUGACAGGUUGCAGUGCUUUUGAGGAGGACACCUGGGGUGACCUCCUCAUUGGCGACGUAGAGAUGAAAAAGGUUUUGGCUUGUGGCAGGUGCAUUUUGACCACGGUCGACCCAGACACCGGAGUGAUUGACAGGAAGGAGCCCCUGGAGACCCUGAAGAGCUACCGCCUGUGUGAUCCCUCUGAGAGGCCAAUUUACAAGUCGGCCCCACUUUUUGGGAUCUAUUAUUCAGUGGAAAAAAUUGGAAGCCUGAAAGUUGGUGACCCCGUGUACCGGAUGGUUUAGUGACGCCUCUACCCCAGGGAUACGGCAUUUAACGAUCAUUAGCAUUUGAGGAAGCCUGGCGUCAGCUGUCUCUGCGCAGCAUCUAGAGCACCACCCUUGUGCUUCUGCAGAGGGCCUGCCCGGUCUGCACCUCGGUUCUCCUGGCUAAUGCAUAUUCUGCUAACGACCCCUCAUAAACCCCUUGGGGCCUGAGCUUCCUCUUUCUCUUAUUCUUGAGGACAUAUCAUGCUGUGCAAACGGCCUGCCAAUCUGCACAGGUCCUGCGUGCCCACACCAACGCACUCUGUCCUCAGUCAGCUGACCCUACGAAUAACUUAUGCCUUUAGGUCUUUGUGCUUAAGCUGAAGUCAUUCACCAGCACUGUGACUGUUUUUCAAGCAGGAAGAUGGAGUUUUCAGCAAAGAGGCUAAGAAAAUAUUGUAGAAACAUGUCUCGCGACACCCGUGUCCUCAUGGAUGCUACUCAGAUUUGUUUCUGCUGAGCCACGAUGGGAACUCCUAUAGUUCUCUCGUUUUAACCUCCAUAAGUGGCCGAAUUAUUUAUGACAGGUAAGAGAAAAAACACUAAAUCAUCAGAGACUCUCAUGGUUGUUCCAGGUUUCAGCAUCUAGAAGGCACUGAUCAGAAGUUAAACCACCACAGCACCACCACCACCUGGGCAAGUAUUUAUGACUCCGCUUUGGCCAUCUUCACCCUGGAUACGGAUGUUCUUGUGGAGUUACGGAUGCUCUGAGUUAAUGCAUGGGACGUUUUAGAGGUGAUUUGAGAAUAAGAACGUAUAUGGGUUUUAGGUAAUGAAGUCUUUUCCAAUAAAUAAAAUUGUUGAUAAAAUUAUUUUGAAUGUUAUGGUAGCUCCUCUUCUCGAAUCCCUGACAUCAAUAUUGACAAGUGAAGGACGUUGAAAGAACCAGCUAAAAAGCUACAAUCUUUUUCUUUUUUUUCUGAAUGUUUCUGUUUUAUUACCUAUUAUUCUGUUUUCAGAGAAAUGGGACGCAGCGGGUUUUCUGAUGUGUGUGUCCACACAAACACACAAAUUCCUGUCGAUUUUCACAUCGCUGUUGAGUCCCGUUGACUUUUUGCUCGCCUGUUUUUGACCCCACCAUGAUGGAAUCAGGUCGUCUUUGAGAAUGGAAAUUGACUCUGCAGACUUUGGUUCUGUAUUUGAUUAUGCUUCUGUUGAGCCAUGUAAAAGGAAUGAUAACAGACAGAUACACCAAGCGCGAAUUCCAAGUGUGAUAAAGAAUAGACCUGGAUUUGAAAGAGAAGGGUAUUUUGAGAGUAGGGCUGGAAGGAAGGAAGUUUGAACCUGUUUUUUUAGGUGCAAAUUUUUUUAUAACCAAAUAAUUUGGUUUGCUUAAUCCAGAGCUCUUCCUGAACCAAUAAUGUGGAUGAGUGAACUCAUAAUUUUGUGGUUUCUUUAAUAAUAAUAAAUGUGAUUCUCAAUUGUA